CACGUAGGGGGGCGAGCGUUGUCCGGAUUUACUGGGCGUAAAGCGCACGUAGGCGGCUUUGUAAGUUAGAGGUGAAAGCCUGGAGCUCAACUCCAGAACUGCCUUUAAGACUGCAUCGCUUGAAUCCAGGAGAGGUGAGUGGAAUUCCGAGUGUAGAGGUGAAAUUCGUAGAUAUUCGGAAGAACACCAGUGGCGAAGGCGGCUCACUGGACUGGUAUUGACGCUGAGGUGCGAAAAGCGUGGGGGAGCAAACAG
rnacentral:rRNA from 1 species